rnacentral:lncRNA from 1 species
UUGUCUUGUGCUUAUUGCUUAAUUAUUUGAUCAGUAAUUACUUUGUUACUCUAGAAGGAAUUGGAAGAGGAAUUCUAGGGUUAGAACUGGGCAUGAUAUCAUGUGACUUAGUUAUUUGCACACUGAAUAAUUAGGUUUGUGAAUAGAAUGGAAAUAUCUUUUCGCCACAUGUAACAUAUAAGGAAUUGGGAUUGGAACG